rnacentral:rRNA from 1 species
UGGGGAAUCUUGCGCAAUGGGCGAAAGCCUGACGCAGCGACGCCGCGUGGAGGAUGAAGGCCUUAGGGUUGUAAACUUCUGUUAAGUGGGAAGAAAUAGCCAUCUCUAAUAAAGAUGGAAGAUGACGGUACCAUUAGAGAAAGCACCGGCUAAACUCGUGCCAGCAGCCGCGGUAAUACGAGUGGUGCAAGCGUUAUUCGGAAUCAUUGGGCGUAAAGGGUGUGUAGGCGGUUUAUUAAGUCAACUGUUUAAUUCUCUGGCUCAACCGGAGGUCAGCGGUAGAAACUGAUAGGCUAGAGGGUGAGAGAGAGAAGUGGAAUUCUCGGAGUAGCGGUAAAAUGCGUAGAUCUCGAGAGGAACACCAAUGGCGAAGGCAGCUUCUUGGCUCAUUCCUGACGUUAAAACACGAAAGCGUGGGGAGCAAACAGGAUUAGAUACCCGGGUAGUCC